CUUUUUUCACCGAUAAGAUUAUGACGUAUACAUAUACCCAACAUACUACUAGAGAAUCAUCCCUAUUUAAUCACCGGAUAGCUCGAGCUACAUAUGAAGUACUUCUAGUGGAUCUCGAACUUUUGUUUUUUUUCACUUCAUCUAAUCUCUAUAUAAUGAUCCCAUAAUCAUCUCCCGACUGAUCCAUAUACUCUCUUGAGUUGACUCUAUCUCUUCCAACAGAAAAUGUCCCUCAUCACCUCCCAAUCAAACUCCUCCAUUUUCAAUGCUCUCUCAGCAUUGUUUGGACGAGGAAGGUGCAUCAGCCCUCCAAAAGAUGAUGAACCAUUCUCACCCCUCUUCCUUACGCUGUCGGCACUCUUCGCUCUGGUUUGCUAUUCAUGCUUCCAUUACCUCAAACCCCAGAGGGGAAGUCCGCCCGGUCCACUCGGCCUCCCGUUUGUCGGGUACCUCCCGUUCCUGGAUCAGGAGCUGCACACCUCCUUCGCACACCUGGCCCGAGCCUAUGGCCCAAUCCUGAAGCUCACGCUCGGGAGAAAGGUAUGGAUCAUAAUCUCGUCCCCGUCCACCGCCCGUGAAGUGCUCAAGGACCAUGACCUAACAUUUGCAAACCGGAAUGUCCCCGUUGCUGCCCGGGAAAUUACCUACGGGGGGUCGGAGAUCGUGACGGCCUCCUAUGGGCCAAAGUGGAGGAUGCUGAGGAAGAUCUGCGUCCUCAAGAUGCUCAGCCGGACGACUCUCGACUCCGUGUACGGGCUCCGCAGGAGGGAGGUCCGUGAGAGCAUCAAGUACUUGUACAAGCGCAGUGGAUUGCCGGUGAACGUGGGUGAGGAGAUGUUUCUCGCUGCGUACAACGUGAUCACAGGCAUGCUGUGGGCCGGAACCAUGAAGGGGGACGAGCGGGAUACGCUGGGUGCAGAAUUCAAGAAUGCGGUAGGAGAGCUUAUGGAGCUGCUGGGGAUGCCCAAUAUAUCGGACUUCUUUCCAGGUUUGGCAUGGUUCGACCUACAGGGGAUCCAGAAGCGUGUUAAGGUUUUGGCGGGGCAGUUCGAUCGAAUUUUUGAAGCGGUAUUAAGUCAGCGGCUGGGGAAUGAGAAGGAGGGCGGACAGACCACGGUGGAGGAAAGCAAGCAAAGCCUGGAAAAGGAAAAGGACUUCUUGGAGUUCUUGCUGGAGCUGAAAGAUGGGGAAGAUGGCAAGACUCCUCUGACUCUGAUCGAAAUCAAAGCUUUGCUCAUGGACAUGGUUCUCAAUGGAACUGAGACAUCUUCCAACACGAUAGAAUUUAUCAUGGCCGAGAUGUUGAACAAGCCACACACUCUGCAGAAAGCCCAGCAGGAACUCGACAAAGUGGUCGGGAAGGACAACGUAGUGGAAGAGUCUCACAUCAUGAAGCUCCCCUACCUCCAUGCUGUCAUGAAAGAGUCCCUCCGCCUUCACCCGCCCGCCCCAGUGCUGGUCCCACACUGCCCGAGCGAGGACACUCUCAUCAGUGGUUUCAGGAUCCAGAAGGACUCGAUGGUCUACAUCAAUGUGUGGGCAAUCCAUCGCGACCCAACCAUUUGGGAGAACCCGGAUGAGUUCGACCCUGAGAGGUUUAUGAAUAGCAAUGUGGACUACAGCGGGAAUCAUUUCAAUUACCUCCCAUUUGGGUCCGGGAGAAGAAUCUGCGCGGGAAUCGCGAUGGCCGAGAGGAUGGUGAUGUACUCGCUGGCCACCAUCCUGCACUCCUUCGAUUGGGAGCUGCCCAAGGGGGAGAAGUUGGAUCUGUCGGAGCAAUUCGGGAUAGUAAUGAAGAAGAAGGUGGCUCUCAUCGCAAUCCUGACUCCGAGGUUGUCUGACCCGGCCCUCUAUAAGUAGGCAAAGCGAGAAGGAGUUUACGGCCUCUGUGUUUUUGGCCUUUUUUUGGAAUAACAGCGUUCUGAUUCCGUCUAGGAUUUGAAUCAGAAUAUUGUCUUCCCGUGGAAAGUGAAAGAUGAACUCGGGCAUGGCCUUUGUCACCAACAAACUUUUCACCGGAAGGAGAUUUAUAGCAUAGAAAGCAGCCAUGACCCUCAUCAACUACCUCAAAUACUUUAAUGUCAGCUUCAAAGCAUCUAAGCGCACAAUCAAUUGCCAUUUGUCAGCAACAUUGUUUUCAACAUAACAUUCAAGGUUUAAAGAAACUUUAUCAUCUCUAA